CGGCGGACGGGUGAGUAACGCGUGGGUAACCUGCCUCAUACAGGGGGAUAACAGUUGGAAACGGCUGCUAAUACCGCAUAAGCGCACAGUACCGCAUGGUACGGUGUGAAAAACUCCGGUGGUAUGAGAUGGACCCGCGUCUGAUUAGGUAGCUGGUGGGGUAACGGCCUACCAAGCCGACGAUCAGUAGCCGACCUGAGAGGGUGACCGGCCACAUUGGGACUGAGACACGGCCCAG
rnacentral:rRNA from 1 species